UUUUUUUUUUUUUUUUGGUUUUUCGAGACAAGGUUUCUCUGUAUAGCCCUGGCUGUCCUGGAACUCACUUUGUAGACCAGGCUGGCCUCGAACUCAGAAAUCCGCCUGCCUCUGCCUCCUGAGUGCUAGGAUUAAAGGCGUGCGCCACCACACCGGGCUUCACUUUUUUCUUCAAAGUUGCUCUUGCCAGUUGAUGAGUGAUGAUGUAGAGAGAGCAUUGUCCUGUGAGCAUUGUAUUCUUUACUGUCACAUGAGCAUCGAGGACGAAGACCAAGAAGGAAGGAAGCUUUAUCAUGGAGCCUAAUCUAUGAUCGAUCAAUCCAUAGAUCAAUACAUGCAUGGAUUCGGUAAUAACUGAAACCACAUUUUCUACCAUGAGUUUUAGUCAAAACAAAACCAAGCUGAUCAAGGCCCCUGGAGCACCUCUUCCGAGCCUUCUUGCCCUCAAGGGACAGGGCAAAGAGUAGGUGACUUCUUCCCCUUAAAGAGUCAAUUAAGACUACUUCUUCCUCUUAAUAAUACAAAUUCAUAUACUCUGUGUUUGUGGAAUGGGGAGAGAUGUGUAAAAAUCACAAAAUCUAAUAGAACUUGGUGCAAGGAAGUGGUAUCAAGGUUUUAUGGCUUACGUGCAAAGGAGCUGAGAGUGGAGUUUGUGGUGGCAUAAGAUGUCUUCAUGAAACACAUCACGGAAAAGUGUCCAGGAUCUCACCUUUUGUACUUUAUUGGAUAGGUACAACAUAAUGAUUAAAAUCCCAUAAUCAGCGUCCCUGACAUUAUCUUCUCAAGCUUACCUGAUUGACACCAAAUUCUCUCUCCCCUCUUCUCAUAAACCCACAUUUAUGACAUUUAAUAUAAGCAAUAUUUGCCAUUAUUGGGCCCUAACAUAUAGCUGUGGCACUGGGCUAACUAUGAACUUGGACUGGAAUAUAUUUCCUUGUUCUAGGGCAUUAAUUGCGCCUCCUGGACAAGACUCAGAAACAACAACAGCUUGAGCUGGAUACGUGCUUAGCUUCUUCAUGGCGUUACACAGUUUUUCAGACAUGAACGUACCUUAGGCAGUAAGUAAGGCAGUGUUCACACUCUCAGCAAGAGAUAGAAAGGAGAGGCUUCAGAGGAUCAGAUCCUUUAAAGCAGGCAGAUACAAACUCUACCAUUGUUGACUAUAAAUCCAUACUAGAACCCGUUACAGUCAGUCUUGCUGCGUGUGAUUUUACCCAUUCUUUAAGAGAGGGAUAGUAGGGGACUGGAGUGACGUCUUAGCAGCUAGGGGUACAAGGACUCAGAGUUGAUACUCAUCACCCACAUGGUGGUUCAUAACACACUGUAACUCCAGUUCUGGGGGGAUACAGUGGCCUCUUCUGACCUACAAGGGCAUUAGGCAUGCAUGUGGAGCACACACACACACAGCAAACAAAACACCCAUACACAUAAAGUAAAUAUUUUUAAAUUAAAAUAUUCAUAGUAAUUAAAUAUAUUUCCAUAUGCACACACACACACACACACACACACACACACACACAUAUACACUAAAAUAUAUGUAACUGAAAAAAAUUUGGUUUGCUCUCGCCUAAUGGUACCUGGCCAGCUCCCUUUAUCAGUUUGUUUCUGGAUUUUUGUGGUCUGAGGUGGAUUUUCUCAAUCACCAGUCACCAAACCCAUAUACAUUGCUUUCCUGGAAGAAUUUCCCACAUGUCCCACACAUUAAUUCAGCAGAGUCGUGUUCCUUAAGGAAGAGUGAUGGGUUGCAUUUGAUUCAGCAUGCUGGCCAGAAGCUGGACCAUAAUUUGAUCUGGGGUUUUGGAAAUGAAAGAAUCCUUAAGGCUUUUGUCUGCAGGGGAGCUUAGAACAGUGGGGAAGAGAGACGGAAACCCCCUCUUCCCCCUGGAAGUUACAAUCCAUAUGACGAUUUUCUGAUGACAGACUGCCCCUGGAGCGGGAGGAGGGACCAGUGCCACAGGGUCUCCUUUGGAGUAGAUAGGUGAAAUAUAGCAUUAUUACUGAGAAUGGAGAAAUAGUACUUAUCUUCUACCUCAAUUU
rnacentral:lncRNA from 1 species